rnacentral:rRNA from 1 species
GCGGCGUGCUUAACACAUGCAAGUCGAACGGAAAGGCCCUGCUUUUGUGGGGUGCUCGAGUGGCGAACGGGUGAGUAACACGUGAGUAACCUGCCCUUGACUUUGGGAUAACUUCAGGAAACUGGGGCUAAUACCGGAUAGGAGCUCCUGCUGCAUGGUGGGGGUUGGAAAGUUUCGGCGGUUGGGGAUGGACUCGCGGCUUAUCAGCUUGUUGGUGGGGUAGUGGCUUACCAAGGCUUUGACGGGUAGCCGGCCUGAGAGGGUGACCGGCCACAUUGGGACUGAGAUACGGCCCAGACUCCUACGGGAGGCAGCAGUGGGGAAUAUUGCACAAUGGGCGGAAGCCUGAUGCAGCAACGCCGCGUGCGGGAUGACGGCCUUCGGGUUGUAAACCGCUUUCGCCUGUGACGAGGCGUGAGUGACGGUAAUGGGUAAAGAAGCACCGGCUAACUACGUGCCAGCAGCCGCGGUGAUACGUAGGGUGCGAGCGUUGUCCGGAUUUAUUGGGCGUAAAGGGCUCGUAGGUGGUUGAUCGCGUCGGAAGUGUAAUCUUGGGGCUUAACCCUGAGCGUGCUUUCGAUACGGGUUGACUUGAGGAAGGUAGGGGAGAAUGGAAUUCCUGGUGGAGCGGUGGAAUGCGCAGAUAUCAGGAGGAACACCAGUGGCGAAGGCGGUUCUCUGGGCCUUUCCUGACGCUGAGGAGCGAAAGCGUGGGGAGCGAACAGGCUUAGAUACCCUGGUAGUCCACGCUGUAAACGGUGGGUACUAGGUGUGGGGUCCAUUCCACGGGUUCCGUGCCGUAGCUAACGCUUUAAGUACCCCGCCUGGGGAGUACGGCCGCAAGGCUAAAACUCAAAGGAAUUGACGGGGCCCCGCACAAGCGGCGGAGCAUGCGGAUUAAUUCGAUGCAACGCGUAGAACCUUACCUGGGUUUGACAUGGAUCGGGAGUGCUCAGAGAUGGGUGUGCCUCUUUUGGGGUCGGUUCACAGGUGGUGCAUGCCUGUCGUCAGCUCGUGUCGUGAGAUGUUGGGUUAAGUCCCGCAACGAGCGCAACCCUUGUUCACUGUUGCCAGCACGUUAUGGUGGGGACUCAGUGGAGACCGCCGGGGUCAACUCGGAGGAAGGUGGGGAUGACGUCAAGUCCUCAUGCCCCUUAUGUCCAGGGCUUCACGCAUGCUACAAUGGCUGGUACAGAGAGUGGCGAGCCUGUGAGGGUGAGCGAAUCUCGGAAAGCCGGUCUCAGUUCGGAUUGGGGUCUGCAACUCGACCUCAUGAAGUCGGAGUCGCUAGUAAUCGCAGAUCAGCAACGCUGCGGUGAAUACGUUCCCGGGGCUUGUACACACCGCCCGUCAAGUCAUGAAAGUUGGUAACACCCGAAGCCGGUGGCCUAACCGUUGUGGGGGAGCCGUCGAAGGUGGGACUGGUGAUUAGGACUAAGUCGU